UCCAUCCCUCUCUAACAGAAGGAGAGUCGGACCGGAGGAAAUGUGAUAGUAUUGCCAGGAUCCUAGCAGCCUGACCUCAGCAGUCUCUAUCUCCACACAACUACUACAGCCAGAAACAAGCUGACAUCUUAGAAGUUCCAGCGUGUGGCCACCAGAGCAGCUCUCACCAUGGUGCAGGACCGCCCAGAGUUUACCCAGCAAUACCUGCUCAUCCCCUCUUCAGCUCCCUCCACAACUGUGGCCAGAUGAUAGCGCCCCCUGUCAGGAGAUCCUACUCACAUACUUGGGUCACUCUGAGCCUCCUGUGUCCCUGUCAACCCUAAAGUAGCUGUGUGCCCUGGACAGAGUGAUGGAUUUGGGUUAAAUGCAGAAGACACAUUUCAAUUGAAGGCAUUCAGUUGUACAACU